UUCACUUCUCGGCCUUUUGGCUGAGAUCAAGUGUAGUACCUGACUGCACUUGUUCCCAAGCAGGUCUAACUUGUUAGCAUUUACAUACAGUUCUGCCCUACGUUUUGUUAACAAUAUUUAUAACUUCAAAUAUUUAUAGCUUCAAAAUGUGUUUGGCAUACACAAAGAUGCAAUCUAACAUAUAUUUAAC